CCCGCCAAUAGGGAACGUGAGCUGGGUUUAGACCGUCGUGAGACAGGUUAGUUUUAUCCUACUGAAGUUUUUUCCGAGAUAGCAGUCAUGAUUGGUACGAGAGGACUGUCAUGUCCGGACAUUUGGUUACGCAUCUUUUCGAAAGAAAACGAUGCAAAGCUAAGUCCGUGGGCUAAUGGUUGAAAGCCUCUAAACCAGAAUCCCGCCUGUAUUCGGAGAUAUUCGAUGGCGCAAUUGUUACAUGAGUACGAAUAGGCCGAAAGGUUUAGACCAUUAAUUGCUGCGCACAAAAAUCAAAUGAAUAUAUUUCUUUUUUGAGUAAGCAGAAUAAUAAUUUCAGAUAAUUGUGUCAUCAAAACCCUUAUAGUCGAUUUGGUGUACACCAGCUGCUGUG
rnacentral:rRNA from 1 species